rnacentral:misc_RNA from 1 species
GAGAGUUUGUUGAUAAAAUUGUUAAUUAGUAGUUUAUUAAGAUAUUUAUGUUAUUGUAUAUUGUAAAAUGUUUAUGGGUUAAAUGUAAAUUAUUUAUAAAUUAAUAUAGGAAAAGUAAAAGUAAUAUUAGUAAGUUGAAGGUUUUAUUUAUUUGUUAUGUUGAAAUGUUAAUUAAUUUAUGGUUAUUAAAGAUGUAUAUAAAUAAAAAGAAUUUUUUUCGAAUAAA